rnacentral:lncRNA from 1 species
AGCUGAUAGGAGCGCGGGUCUGGUGGGUUUCCAUCCCCUGCCCUGAGCCUUCCAGGGAGUCUUCUGUUUCCCAUGCAGGGAGAGGGGAAAGGAGGCCACGAAGCCAGUGGCGAAAGCCCCCAAAACAUUUCCUUGGAGACCGGUCAUCAUGUCUUGUCCACUGCUGUGACCCCAGCACCGCCAAUCCCCGCAAUACACAUGAGCCAUCCUGAACUUUGCAGACGCCAUUCCCUCUGCCUCGCAUGCGCUUCCCUCCCCGCUGAACCUGGCCGAGUCCUGCUCACCUGCAGGUCACGGCUUCAUCCCCUUCUUCAGGGAGGCUGGCCUGGUCAGCUGUGUUCUCACCACACCAUGUACUUCUGUAGACUAGCCUUCAGCACAGAUGCUGUUGAAUACGUGACAGAAUCAUUUUGCGAAAAGUUGGACAUAGUUUAGAAGCAGACUGGAGCCCAAGCCUCGACCCAACCCCUUGCAAGAACCACUGAAGGUCAGACUCAUCGGGGCCAGCUCAAUCUGAAGUAAUGUAAAACCAUGAAGGCAUCCGACAACCAGUUGGAUAAUGACACUGGAAGAGGCAAUGGUCACAGAGCACGAAGGCAGUAAAACACUGCGUCACAAAGCCUUAAGAAUACGAAUACCCUUUGCUGUAGCAAUUGCACCUCUAGGAGUUCAUUAUAAUAAACUGCUGCAUGGAACAGAGAUGAAUUUAUGAGGAUGUCUACUACAGUGUUGCUCACACAGUGAAAAAAUGGAAAUAAUCUAGAUAGCCAACAACAGGAGAUUCGUUGCAAGUAAAAAUUCAGACAUUUCCCUGCCACCAUUAAAAAUGAUGUUGUACAUGUGCGUUACUGGCAUGGAGUCACACUUGGUGUGUGUCAAGAACUGUUCAGUGACAAGUGACAGAAAUCCAUCUCAAAAUGGAAAAAGCAAAGGGAGGAUUUAUUGGUUUAUGGAAUCCAAAGGAGAGUUGGACAACCGAGGUUCAGGAAGGACCAUGGUGUGACCAAACUUUAAAAACAACUGGAAUGUGGGACUCAGACAGCUCAAGGAUUCCCUCUCCGUCUGCUGUGUUUGCCUCUCCCCACACCCAGACUUUCUCACUGCAGACCAGAUAGGGGGAAACAAGUUUCGGCCACAAGGAAGAGUCUACCUGAAGUCUCCAGCCCCAAAUCCAAAAAAUCUUAAGCAAGGAAUAUAUUGGCCACCUUAGGUCGAGGAUCCAAACCAGAGCAGUCCACUGUGGUCAGGGUAUGUUGGCACUGUGGUUGACCCAACUGGGGUAAAGACCUGCCUCUGGACCAAUCCACUAAGACCAGGGGAGGGGACUCUUGACCUAACAGGAGAGCUGCAGAAUUAAGCAAGGAAUAAGGGCGGUUCCUAGGAAAGGGAAGUGGCCGGUAAUCUCAGUUACCCUCUCCCUAGCGUUCAAGGAAACGAUUAACAAGACAGGAAGCACAGUGAGGCCCCAUUUCUGUGAAAAUGAUGGGGGCUGGACAAUAGGAGAAAGAAGUCUGGAAAGGUAUUCUAGUGUUGAAAGUGAUUUUCUUGCAGCUGCGCUGUGUUUUCUACAAGGAAUGCCAAUGAUUUGUGAGAUUAAUUUUUUUUAUUUAAAUUCAAUUAGAUUUAAAAAAAUUUAAGAGAGAAAAGCCAUACUGACUCCAUGAGUAUUGAGAAUGUUGACUCGGCCUUCCCUGCCUCUCCCUUUCAGCCAGCCCAUGCUGGAUUUGAAACAAACAAUUCUGUGACCUGCACGCCUCACAUGUGUCUCCAGUCACCCAUCCAUCAACUACUGGGUAUUGACAGGGGCCCAGUAAGUGCCAGGCAGCAAUGUGUACUGGAGAUGCUGUGACCAGUAAGGGCCAGACCCUGCCCUCCAGGAGCUCCCAGUCUGGAGGAAGAAACAAGAAUGCAUAUCAGUUAUGUUUUAAGAAGCUCAAAACAGGGGCGCCUGGGUGGCUCAGUCGUUAAGCGUCUGCCUUCGGCUCAGGUCAUGAUCCCGGGGUCCUGGAGUCGAGCCCCGCCUCGGGCUCCCUGCUCAGGGGGAAGCCUGCUUCUCCCUCUGCCUGCCCACUUGUGCCCUCUCUUGCUGUCUCUCUCGCUAUCUCUGUCAAUAUCUCUGUCUUUCUCUCUCAAAUAAAUAAAAAAAGAAGCUCAAAACAGAAGUGUGAGCAGUGUGCCCCGAAAAUAUAGACCAAAGAGCAACACCUUCUGUUUAUGUUUAUGGGUAUCUUGAAAGGUGGUUUGAGGCACUUGAGGUCUCGGGCGUACGCAAAGGUACAGGGUUCACCAGCAGUUGGCAGGUAGCUGGGUGUGGCAGGAAGUCUGAGGGGCAGGCAGUGAACUCCAUUUACUAAGCAUUUAGUGAGCAUCUAUCCUGUGUCGGGCUUUUGCCUAGGGGCUUGCUGAUGAGAUAGGGAAAGCAUUUGGGAUUCAAUUCCAGAGGACCUGGAAUGCCCUUCUAUCUCUUUUCCAAUAAAACAAAAUUGAAAUUGGGGCGCCUGGGUGGCUCAGUGGGUUAAGCAUCUGAUUUCAGCUCAGGUCAUGAUUCUGGGGGUCCUGGGAUGGAGCCCUGUGUCCUGUGGGGCUCGCGCUCAGCGAGGAGUCUGCUUGUUCUUCUUCCUCUCCUUCUGUCCUCUGGCCCUCCCCCGGCUUGUGUGCACGCUCGCUCCCCCUGCCCCUGUCUCAAAUAAAUAAAUAAAAAUCUUUAAAAUGUGGGCCUGUCUCUUCUCCCCCAGGAGGGAUAAAGAUCCCACCCAGCCUGGGCCCUCUGGAGUAUCUUUAGCUUGUGUACCCCCACAUUUGGGGAAG